rnacentral:rRNA from 1 species
UACGUAGGGACCGAGCGUUGUCCGGAAUCAUUGGGCGUAAAGGGUGCGUAGGUGGCGCUGUAAGUCAGGUGUGAAAUUUCGGAGCUUAACUCCGAAACUGCAUUUGAUACUGCGGUGCUUGAGGACUGGAGAGGAGACUGGAAUUUACGGUGUAGCAGUGAAAUGCGUAGAGAUCGUAAGGAAGACCAGUGGCGAAGGCGGGUCUCUGGACAGUUCCUGACACUGAGGCACGAAGGCCAGGGGAGCAAACGGG